rnacentral:tRNA from 1 species
GUCGUUGUACCGAAGUGGUUAACGGGAUGGUCUCGAAUCUACAAGUUUCGCUAACCAUUGGACUCUGUCCGCGUAGGUUCGAAUCCUAUCGACGACG